UAUCAUGUGGUCAGAAGGCAUUCUUU
rnacentral:piRNA from 1 species